GUGGAGCCUCCCUUGAGAUACCACCCUUGCAUUGCUUGAUGUCUAACCGCGAUCCCUUAUCGGGUUCCGGGACCCUGUGUGGCGGGUAGUUUGACUGGGGCGGUCGCCUCCUAAAGCGUAACGGAGGCGCGCGAAGGUUGGCUCAGAGCGGUCGGAAAUCGCUCGUUGAGUGCAAUGGCAGAAGCCAGCCUGACUGCAAGACUGACAAGUCGAGCAGAGUCGAAAGACGGCCAUAGUGAUCCGGUGGUCCCAAGUGGGAGGGCCAUCGCUCAACGGAUAAAAGGUACGCCGGGGAUAACAGGCUGAUACUGCCCAAGAGUCCAUAUCGACGGCAGUGUUUGGCACCUCGAUGUCGGCUCAUCUCAUCCUGGGGCUGGAGCAGGUCCCAAGGGUAUGGCUGUUCGCCAUUUAAAGAGGUACGUGAGCUGGGUUUAGAACGUCGUGAGACAGUUCGGUCCCUAUCUGCCGUGGGUGUAGGAUACUUGAGAGGAGUUGCCCCUAGUACGAGAGGACCGGGGUGAACGAUCCACUGGUGGACCAGUUGUCGUGCCAACGGCAGUGCUGGGUAGCUAUGAUCGGACAGGAUAACCGCUGAAGGCAUCUAAGCGGGAAGCCCCCCUCAAAACAAGGUAUCCCUGAGGGCCGUGGAAGACCACCACGUCGAUAGGCCGGAGGUGUAAGUGCAGCAAUGCAUUCAGCUGACCGGUACUAAUGGCCCGAUAGGCUUGAUCCG
rnacentral:rRNA from 1 species